rnacentral:lncRNA from 10 species
CGGCCGCCAUCUUACGCCCGUCGCCCUGAGUACGUUAGCGGAAAUGGCUCCGAGAGGCUUUGACGCAUGUGUACCUUUUUAGUGGCGGUAUCUCGGCCGGGGAUUUUCGGGCUCCAGUGGAGGUGGCUAUGCUCACCCCAUCUCCCUUGAGAGGCACAGAAGGUUAGAGAUGUGUGCGAGGAACGGCCAGGUCCAGCGUCUCCUCGUUGCUGCCCCUUGAGCCCGGGACCGGCGCCAAUGCGCGCCCGGGUUCUUGGGUUCUUUCGUCCCGCAGACCUGCCUUGGUGUGGCGUCCCUGGGCCGUAGCUUCCGAAGGCUGCAGCCGACCUGGUCGGGGUCCUCUAGCCCGCCUUCCCCUUCCCCCAUUGACAGAUGGAGAAACUGAGGCCCAGGCCAAAAAAUAUCUCACUAGAGGGCUCACCGCCAUUUCCUGGAAAAAUUGGGGCUGGGACUCAACGGACGCUCGUCCAGCAGCAGCGCGGAGCUCCGAAGGUCAGGUUGGCCAUCCGCAGGCGUAGUUGCUAGGAAGGUUUGACAGAUGUCCGCCUGUUGAUUCAGACGUUCCCAGGAUUUGGAGCAAGAAGAGCAAGGAAGGCCAGGCGCGGUGGCUCACGUUUGUAAUCCCAGCACUUUGGGAGGCCGAGGCGGGCGGAUCACGAGGUCAGGAGUUCGAGACCAGCCUGGCCAGCAUGGUGAAACCCCGUCUCUACUAAAAAUACAAAAGAAAAUUAGCCGGGUGUGGUGGCACAUGCCUGUAGUCCCACCUACUUGGGAGGCUGAGGCAGGAGAAUUGUUUGACCUGGCAGGCGGAGGUUGCAGUGAGCCGAGAUUGCGCCACUGCACUCCAGUCUGGGCGACAGAGCGAGACUCUGUCUCAGAAAAAAAAAAGAGCAAGGAGGUGUUGAAAAUGGGUUUCCUGGCUGGGCGUGGUGGCUCACGCUUGUAAUCCCAGCACUUUGGGAAGCUGAGGUGGGCGGAUCACUUGAGGUCAGGAGUUUGAGACCAGCCUGGCCAACAUGGUGAAACACCGUCUCCACUAAAAAUAGAAAAAUUAACUGGGUGUGGUGGAGGGCGCCUGUAAUCCCAGCUAAUCAGGAAGCUGAGACAGGAGGAUCGCUUGAACCCAGGAGGCGGAGGUUGCAGUGAGCCGAGAUUGCUCCAUUGCACUCCAGCCUGGGCGAUAGAGUGAGACUCAGCCUCAAAAAAAAAAAAAAAAAAAAAUUCGCCAGGUGUGGUGGUGUGCGCCUAUAAUCCCAGCUACUCAGGAGGCAGAGGCACAAGAAUGGCUUGAAUCACUUGAACCUGGGAGGCAGAGGUUACAAUGAGCCGAGAUGGCACCACUGCACUCCAGCCUGGGCGACAGAGCGAGACUCCGACUUCCCAUCUUAAAAAAAAAAAAAAAAAAAAAAAAGAAGUGUAAAGAUGUGAUUAUGUGGCAGGGGGUAAGGGUUAAAAAGAAAACAAGAACAAGUUUUCCUCUGCUUAGCCAGCUUACUUCAAGGACAGUUAUAACACUGAAAAGUCGAGGCCAAAGGAAUGGGCUCCAGACAGCCUCCUCCGGAGCAAAGUUGAAAAGAAAAAUUCCUUUACUGUCUCUCCUUUUCUGAACCAUUAAAUAUGACUGUUUGCCAAUGGUUGUAUUUAGUAAGAUUUGUAGACUCUGUUUUUCUUUUGACACAGCUGCAAGGCCAACAGCUGUGCAAAGCCACAAGUUAUGCUAAGUCAGCAGUUAUGCUAUAGAUUACAUGACCUGUGACUGUAUCAUUAACUGCUUUUGUUUUGCUUCUGUAAGUUUGCCUAUAAAAACCACACUCAGUCUUUGUUCAAUGGUCAGCUUUUCAGAUACAAAUCCACUGAGCCGGUGUACAUCUAAAUAAAUCCUCCUGUUUCCCGUG